rfam:Cricetulus griseus cell line CHO-K1, whole genome shotgun sequence.
UAGGGAAAUCAGGGCCAGGAGCCUCCCCCUGAGCCCCGGAUAACUCUUAAGAUGGGGGGGGG